GAGUUUGAUCCUGGCUCAGGAUGAACGCUGGCGGCGUGCUUAACACAUGCAAGUCGAACGGGAAAUCUUUUAUUGAAGCUUCGGCAGAUAUAGAUUGUUUCUAGUGGCGGACGGGUGAGUAACGCGUGGGUAACCUGCCUUAUACAGGGGGAUAACAGUCAGAAAUGACUGCUAAUACCGCAUAAGCGCACAGAGCUGCAUGGCUCGGUGUGAAAAACUCCGGUGGUAUAAGAUGGACCCGCGUUGGAUUAGCUAGUUGGUGAGGUAACGGCCCACCAAGGCGACGAUCCAUAGCCGGCCUGAGAGGGUGAACGGCCACAUUGGGACUGAGACACGGCCCAGACUCCUACGGGAGGCAGCAGUGGGGAAUAUUGCACAAUGGGGGAAACCCUGAUGCAGCGACGCCGCGUGAAGGAAGAAGUAUCUCGGUAUGUAAACUUCUAUCAGCAGGGAAGAAAAUGACGGUACCUGACUAAGAAGCCCCGGCUAACUACGUGCCAGCAGCCGCGGUAAUAC
rnacentral:rRNA from 1 species